GUUAUCUUUGUGCCCAUCUUCCAGAAAAUUCCAGGAGGAAGUCCUGUCCUUGGGUAUUUGGCUGCUGGAAUCUUGAUUGGACCUUAUGGUCUUUCUAUCAUACGUCAUGUACAUGGGACCAAGGCUAUAGCUGAAUUUGGAGUUGUCUUCCUUCUAUUUAACAUCGGCUUAGAGCUAUCUGUUGAGAGACUAAGUUCUAUGAAGAAAUACGUUUUUGGAUUGGGCAGUGCUCAGGUCUUAGUGACAGCUGUGGUGGUCGGGUUAAUUGCUAAUUUGGUUGCCGGGCAGGCUGGACCUGCUGCAAUUGUGAUUGGAAAUGGGCUUGCCUUAUCUUCCACUGCUGUCGUCCUCCAGGUAUUGCAGGAGCGUGGUGAGAGCACAUCACGACAUGGACGAGCUACAUUUUCUGUAUUACUCUUUCAGGAUCUGGCGGUGGUUGUUCUACUCAUACUGAUACCACUAAUUUCACCAAAUUCAUCAAAAGGAGGGGUUGGUUUCCGAGCAAUAGCUGAGGCUCUUGGUUUGGCUGCUGUAAAGGCAAUUGUAGCUAUCACUGCCAUUAUUGCCGGAGGACGUCUGCUGUUGCGGCCUAUUUAUAAGCAGAUUGCAGAGAAUCAAAAUGCAGAAAUAUUUUCGGCAAAUACGCUCCUUGUUAUCCUAGGGACUAGUCUUCUGACUGCCAGGGCUGGCCUUUCAAUGGCUUUGGGUGCAUUUUUAGCUGGUCUGCUUCUGGCAGAAACUGAAUUUUCGUUGCAAGUUGAAUCAGAUAUUGCUCCAUAUCGUGGACUCCUGCUGGGUCUCUUUUUCAUGACGGUUGGAAUGUCCAUU
rnacentral:misc_RNA from 1 species